AACCCAAACUCGCACUGGUCUUGUUGGGAAGGAUAUUAGAUUUGUUGCUUUGUGAAGUGCGUGUUCCAUCGCUGUGGUCCUUCACACUUAAUUAAUUAGCUUGUAGAUGGGCUUAACAACUAAUUAGCUGAUGUCCUGGUCUAGCUGAGGUGAGUAAUUAAGGAAAUUAGGUGAUGUAGUGGCAGUCUCGAACAAGUAUUUAGGACCAAGUAUUUCUCACUAGACCGGCCCCACACUUGAGAGAACUGACCAUCCGUUCUUCUCAAUGAGAUUACAUUUGACUGGAAAACAAAACACUAUUUACAUCUGCCACAAAGAGAAAGAGAGCGGACCUAAUGGAUUACGAUAGUCUAAGAUGAAUUUGUUUGUGUGCCUGGCUUCACCCAGUAAAACCUCUCUAUUUUCAGACCUAUAUUACAACUAAUGGGAAAUUGAGCGAAAAGAUAAAUAUGGCUGCACUUUUGCUCUGGCAGCGAUCGUUUAGAUUGCCGCUGACUGCAUUGAGUCAUUAACUGCCUCUGACAGGACCAAGAGAAGCCAAUGAGAGAGAGCCAUCUGAAUGGCUUUCUGAGCAAAAUUGAAUCAUUAAUUGUUGUUUUACUUCAACUGGGGUACAACAGGUUCUUCCUAUAAACCCAUUCCCUGUAAUGUUCACAGUACAUGUGCAUCACUUUAUUACAGGCAGAUUUUUAUUUUAUUUCUGCCCUUUUUUAUAAAUAGGGGCCAGUGCGUGAUGGAAAUCCCCGGCAAGAGCCUGUGUACUUCUAGGCCCAAAAAUCAAAAAGGCUUCACUCGAUGGCUGCACGGCGGGAUGUGAAAGCCCUUUGACAAACCUGCACCUCAUCUGAGCUCUGAGCAUUUCACACUGCUGACCAGCGGCAUUAUGUUUUAUAGAUGUUCACCGUGAGCAUUAGAGGGAUUUGAGCGGGGAAUGACUAUAUUUAUCAGCAGUGGCGAUAAGUCAUAAAGACGCAGCGCUGUGCCAAAGGACUCCUGGCAGCUGUCAUUUUGUGGCUGAAUGAGAAAAAUUGGUGUAGCAUGAGGCCACCGGUGGCGACAGUAGGAUAACUCCACUGCUGACGAAGUCACUUUCACAUCCAGAUGGAGACUCGGGCUGCCGGCACAGGACUCCCAGCAUGCAUCGUUCACAUGGUACGGCGAUUUCUGUGCACAAUGCUACAAUUUUACAAA